CAAAAUCAACAUUAUAAUCCUGCUUUUGUUUCCCUACAGAUGAUGAAAUAUGCCUGGGAUAAUUAUAAGCGUUAUGCAUGGGGAUUAAAUGAACUGAAGCCCAUAUCUAAGCAAGGACAUUCGAGCAAUUUAUUUGGUAACAUUCAAGGAGCAACAAUAGUGGAUGCCCUUGAUACACUGUACAUCAUGGAAAUGAAAGAGGAAUUCAAGGAAGCCAAGGAGUGGGUUGAAAAAAACUUAGAUUUCAAUGUGGUAAGUAGUGUUAAUGAUUAAUACUUAAUGGUUUGUUUAGUAUCUAAGAACUAACCUAACUGAGGACUGGAUUGUAAUGUUGCAAGUAUGAUAUCAGGCUACAGCAUUUAGAUAAUCAAUAGCUAAAAUGUAGCAAGAAGCAGGAAUGUAUUGAAUUUACUGCGCUGCCUAGCGGCAGUUUUUCAGUUUGAGAGAUUUAUGUAGACAGGAGGCAAUGAACUGAGCAAGGAAAAGGUAAUAAGGGUAUUGUUGUAAAAUUUGCAACAAACUUUUAAAUGUAUUUGGAUAGAAUUAUCAGGACUUCAAUGCAAAUAUUAUUUAUUAGCUACAUAAAGACUUAAUAAUUUUUCUUUCUGAAAUAUUCCAUAAGUUAGACUUACAUUUAGAGAAGGCUACGCGUAGCACAUAAUCAUUUAAAUUCCUUGGAGUAUUCCGGUAAAGCUCAAUCCCAUGACUUAUACUGAACUCAGCUCAGCUCAAACUGCUUUAGCCACAUGAGGCACUAGGUCAUUAAACCUGCAUGUACAAAUCAUCCUAUUAACUGGUAAGUAUGCACUUGAGAGUUCAUUUAUAAAGCUUUUAUUCCUGAAAUGUUCUUGCACAGAACAGCUAGAGCAACUAUAAAACUUCAGUUAAAUUGAGAAGGUCUGGUCUUGGUCCUUUUUUUUCUUCUUUUUUGUGGGCAUGAGAAUGUAAUAUAAUUAUUGGGUGCAGAGAGAUAAUGGAGUAGCUCCACUGCUCAGAGUAGUCCCAGUAAAGUGUAAUAAAGCAUUGUAGGCACAGUGCACUGAGCUCUGUAAACCUCUUGCAGUUAAGGUGCAUCAUGGUGGAAACACUUUUGGCAAACAAAGUACCCUUUCUAAUGUAUAAAACUCAUGUUUAAUUAGCUUCUCUUACAUACUUGAGAAAUAAUUAUCAAUUUAAGAAAGAGGUAUUAAUAAGAGAGGAUAUUAUAUAGUUUAUAUAAACAGCAAUUUAGCAUGCAUUUAUAUUUAUGUUAAUGAUAUAAAUACAGAAUAUUAAACUGUGCUUCUGAGUAGCAUCAUAUGUCUGAACAACACUAAGUAUAUCCUCAGCGAAAGAAUAUUUCUGUAGAAAUUUUUAUGAUGCAAAAUUUUUGUCUCUUUAUCUUAGCAUUAGGAACUAAAAAAUGUAAGAACAAAAUAUCAUAGAAAAUAACAAGACCUUCUUUGAAGGAAAAACUGAGCUCUGCUUGGAGGAAUGUUGUAAAACCUGUAAAGUGAUUUACAUUAAUAACAUUAAAAUCAUUAUUUUUUCAGAGGUCUUGCUAUUGUUUCUGUUGCAAACUUCUUACAGAUGGUGCUGCCUUACCAUUUCUGCUCCUCCUGUUAAUCUAAGCAUUACUGAGGAAGAAUCAGUCAAAGCUAUAAGAUUUCUGUCCAAAUGUCUGCAAUUUUGUAUUACAUUAGUCAGUCAGUGUAGUAAUCCAACAGAUUUACCAACACUACUUUACAGAUAAUAAUGUUAUGCAUCAAUAACAGUAUCUGAAAUACUGUCCUGAGUUCAGCAGCUCGCGCAGUGUUUUCAUAACACUUCAUAGUCAGACAGAGCUGAAUUAAUUUUCCCAAAUUAGAGUGAGGAAAUUAAAACAAGUAACACCAACUUUAGAAAUUAGUUAUUACUUUCAACUUUAAUAUUGGUCGCAUAAUCUGUUUGUUUAGUGACAGAGUUGAAUGAAGCUGCUUGUUUAGUUUUCCAUUUUAAGUUCCAAUUUCGAAUGCUGGUUUGUAUCUCAGUCUUACAGUGAAAAGACGGAAGUUACUUAAUGCAAAGUACACAGGACCUUUUUAAGUAUUUAAAGUGAAAGCAUAGCCAUGUUUCAGGCAUUAUGAAACAUUUUCUGCUUUAAUAUUGUUUGUAUAUUAUUACUUAUGUGUGUUUCAUAAGCCCUUUUCCUAUGAAAUUUAUUUGGUUUUUAAUAAUUGAUAUGUAGACCUACCUUUAAAAGCUAUUUAUUAGAAGUAUUAGAAAACAUUUUUAUUUUUUUUUAAUGUUUCUGGUCAUUUCCUAGGUAAUGACUACUUAACUGGCUUUUAAGGAAGCAUAUUUGACCUUAAUUUGUAUAAAUAGGAUUGGAUUUUCUAUACAUUAAAUCUUGGAACUGCUCUUUCUAAAUCUUUAAAAAUAUUCUUUAAAAAAAUCACUGAGUGUAAUCUGUGGAAGAAUCUUUUGAGUUUGUAUUCCAGCGCAAUGCAGCUGGAUAAUGGAAGCUAUCUUCUCUAAAAAUUAAUAAUACUUCAAAUACUCGGUGUAUGUCUUGAACCAUUUGGCUAGCAUUAUAUCAUUCUCAUUAUGCAGUCAUAAAAGUUUCCAAAUUUUACUUUGUAAUGUAGCCAUUAGUUUAUCUGCACAGAAGGAUUUUUAGAAUAAAGAUGUCAUAGUAGGAAAUGGCAUCAUUACUUCACAUUAGAUUUCAGUUCCUCCAUUCAAUAAAUUUUUUGGCUUCUCUGUUUCCUUUCUUGAGAAAUAUAGACAAGUUUCAAUCUAGGAAGAAAAUUCUGGAUAAGUAAAUGCCACCCUUCUUGGUAAACUUGUGAGUGAACUUGUUUGGAAGCAACCUCAUUUUGGAGUACAAUAAGCUGAGGCUGUUUUCAUUAGAACUGGAGCUGCCAGCCCUUUGUUUUUGAAACUGAGGUAUCUACACAUUGCAGUGCUCAGUAUCUAUGCAUGUAACUACUGAAAUUCUUUGUAUUUGAUACCUUGCUGAAGUUUCAGUCAAGCAAAACCAUUCUUUAGGGAUUUGCAUGCUCUUGUUCUGUUGAUAUUUUAAGAAAUGUAGACAUACUCAGACCUUUAGAAAUAUUUGACAUUUAGCAAUGGAUAAAUCCAUGGCGUUUGCAUCAUAGAGGUGCACUAUGUUUUAAAUAGCUUCACAUGUGUGGGGAUGUAUCUUUAAUCUUCAGUUAAUAAAGUUGAGGAUAUGCUCUGACCUCAGCACAUGCUGCAACUGAGGAAAAAAGACACUAUAUUUUACAGGACCACUAAGGAACUUGAUUGUUUCCUAUCUAUAACUACACACUUCUGUGCGCUUCUCUGUUUUUAUUUUCCCUAUUUGCUUUAGGGCAUGUACACAAACAAAGCACUCGUAGUUUUCUGUAAGAGUUUCUCUACCAACAGCCAACUUCUACUUCAUACCAGAGAAGAAAGGCUAUCAGACUUUGGUGAAGCAAAAUGAACUCAGCCUUGGGAAAAGAGAUUAAAAGAGAAGUCUCAAUAAAACAUAUGAAGAGUUCAGGAGCCAGUAAGUAAUGGUGGAGGAGCUUGGCCGUUUGGCACAGCACUGGAGGUUUAGGAGCUGUUAAGGACUAGAAUUGAUGGCACUUCACUUCUGUACCUGAACACUCGAUCUUCUUUAGGAUGAGAGGCUAGCAGAUCUGUCUUCUGAGUUUGAGGCAGAGGAACAAGCAGGAGAAGCAUGGGGAAGGCUCAGAGCUGGAGGCUUGCUUUUGAUCCUCCUCUCUGUUAUGAUAGAAAGAUGGAAGUGGUCUGUAACUAACUGGAUGCAGAAGAUGAAUUUAGUCUAAAGUUUUGGGGAAGGGAGGGUAGCUCAACCUCCAUGCUUAAAUGAAGCGCCCUCUAGCCAUGCUGAACUCCUUCCCCUCAGAAAGAUGAACUUGCCCAUACCGUGUAUUGGGAAUGGUCUUUGACAUAUCCUAUGUCCUCAGUCAUGCCUGGACUGGAACAAUGGAGACCAAAAUCUGACCAGACAGUGCUAACAAUGAAAUGCAAGGUUGAACAGUGCUUAGAUUCAUGCCUUGACCUGUUUAGCAUUCUAAAGUGGGUGAAAUGAGGCAGGACCAGAACAGAGAAAAGGUGUGGAGCAGAAA